rnacentral:lncRNA from 1 species
CGGGGUCUCAGAGAUACUCAUCUGAACAGGCCUCAUUGCCUCAAGUCUAUUCACCUGAAUCAUCGAAGCUAGAGUAGCUAAUGCAUCAGCCAUUUGGUUUUUCUCCCGUGGGAGGUAAUAGAAGGUGAUAUCGUCAAACUCCUCAGCCAAUUCAAGAACUAGUUUUCUAUAACCGAUUAGCUUAGGAUCUCUAGUCUCCC